UACGGAGGGAGCGAGCGUUGUUCGGAAUUACUGGGCGUAAAGCGUAUGUAGGCGGCUUCGUAAGACAGGUGUGAAAUCCCAGAGCUUAACUUUGGAACUGCAUUUGUGACUGCAAGGCUUGAGUAUCGGAGAGGUUGGCGGAAUUCCCAGUGUAGCAGUGAAAUGCGCAGAUAUUUGGGAGGAACACCAAUGGCGAAGGCGGGUCUCUGGGCCGAAAUUGACGCUGAGGAGCGAAAAGCGUGGGGGAGCAAA
rnacentral:rRNA from 1 species